GACGAACGCUGGCGGCGUGCCUAAUACAUGCAAGUAGAACGCUGAAGGAGGAGCUUGCUCUUCUGGAUGAGUUGCGAACGGGUGAGUAACGCGUAGGUAACCUGCCUGGUAGCGGGGGAUAACUAUUGGAAACGAUAGCUAAUACCGCAUAACAGUAGAUGUUGCAUGACAUUUGCUUAAAAGGUGCAAUUGCAUCACUACCAGAUGGACCUGCGUUGUAUUAGCUAGUUGGUGGGGUAACGGCUCACCAAGGCGACGAUACAUAGCCGACCUGAGAGGGGGAUCGGCCACACUGGGACUGGGACACGGCCCCGACUCCUCCGGGAGGCAGCGGUAGGGAAUCUUCGGCAAUGGGCGGAAGUCUGACCGAGCAACGCCGCGUGAGUGUAGAAGGUUUUCGGAUCGUGAAGCUCUGUUGUAAGAGAAGAAAGAGUGUGAGAGUGGAAAGUUCACACUGUGACGGUAUCUUACCAGAAAGGGACGGCUAACUACGUG
rnacentral:rRNA from 1 species